rnacentral:rRNA from 1 species
UACGUAGGUGGCAAGCGUUAUCCGGAUUUACUGGGUGUAAAGGGCGUGUAGGCGGGAAAGCAAGUCAGAUGUGAAAACCAUGGGCUCAACCUGUGGCCUGCAUUUGAAACUGUUUUUCUUGAGUACUGGAGAGGCAGACGGAAUUCCUAGUGUAGCGGUGAAAUGCGUAGAUAUUAGGAGGAACGCCAGUGGCGAAGGCGGUCUGCUGGACAGCAACUGACGCUGAGGCGCGAAAGCGUGGGGAGCAAACAGG